UUGCACGCUGGCGGCAUGCUUUACCCCUGCAAGUCGCACGGCAGCGCGGGCUUCGGCCUGGCGGCGAGUGGCGAACGGGUGAGUAAUACAUCGGAACGUGCCCAGUAGUGGGGGAUAGCUCGGCGAAAGCCGGAUUAAUACCGCAUACGACCUGAGGGUGAAAGCGGGGGAUCUUCGGACCUCGCGCUAUUGGAGCGGCCGAUGGCAGAUUAGCUAGUUGGUGGGGUAAAGGCCUACCAAGGCGACGAUCUGUAGCUGGUCUGAGAGGACGACCAGCCACACUGGGACUGAGACACGGCCCAGACUCCUACGGGAGGCAGCAGUGGGGAAUUUUGGACAAUGGGCGAAAGCCCGAUCCAGCAAUGCCGCGUGUGUGAUGAAGGCCUUCGGGUUGUAAAGCACUUUUGGCGGGAACGAAAAGGACUGUGCCAAUACCACGGUUCGAUGACGGUACCCGCAGAAUAAGCACCGGCUAACUACGUG
rnacentral:rRNA from 1 species